rnacentral:rRNA from 1 species
GACGAACGCUGGCGGCGUGCUUAACACAUGCAAGUCGAACGGAAAGGCCCUGCUUUUGUGGGGUGCUCGAGUGGCGAACGGGUGAGUAACACGUGAGUAACCUGCCCUUGACUUUGGGAUAACUUCAGGAAACUGGGGCUAAUACCGGAUAGGAGCUCCUGCUGCAUGGUGGGGGUUGGAGAGUUUCGGCGGUUGGGAUGGACUCGCGGCUUAUCAGCUUGUUGGUGGGGUAGUGGCUUACCAAGGCUUUGACGGGUAGCCGGCCUGAGAGGGUGACCGGCCACAUUGGGACUGAGAUACGGCCCAGACUCCUACGGGAGGCAGCAGUGGGGAAUAUUGCACAAUGGGCGGAAGCCUGAUGCAGCAACGCCGCGUGCGGGAUGACGGCCUUCGGGUUGUAAACCGCUUUCGCCUGUGACGAAGCGUGAGUGACGGUAAUGGGUAAAGAAGCACCGGCUAACUACGUG